rnacentral:miRNA from 1 species
GCUGUGCAGGAACUAGAUAGG